UACCAUGCAGUCGGACGGAAACGAUAGAUUAGCUUGCUAUUCUAGGCGUCGAGUGGCGGACGGGUGAGUAACGCGUGGGAAUCUACCCUAUAGUUGGGGACAACAUAUGGAAACGUAUGCUAAUACCGAAUAUGCUCUACGGAGUAAAGGGGCCCUCUCCUUGGAAGGUCUCGCUAUGGGAUGAGCCCGCGUAAGAUUAGCUAGUUGGUAAGGUAAUGGCUUACCAAGGCGACGAUCUUUAGCUGGUUUGAGAGGAUGAUCAGCCACACUGGGACUGAGACACGGCCCAGACUCCUACGGGAGGCAGCAGUGGGGAAUAUUGCACAAUGAGCGAAAGCUUGAUGCAGCCAUACCGCGUGUGUGAAGAAGGCCCGAGGGUUGUAAAGCACUUUCAAUUGUGAGGAAGGUUCAGUAGUUAAUACCUGCUGUUCUUGACGUUAACUUUAGAAGAAGCACCGGCUAACUCUGUGCCAGCAGCCGCGGUAAUACAGAGGGUGCAAGCGUUAUUCGGAAUUACUGGGCGUAAAGCGCGCGUAGGCGGAUUGAUAAGUCAGUUGUGAAAGCCCUGGGCUCAACCUAGGAAUUGCAUCUGAUACUGUCAGUCUAGAGUUUAAGAGAGGGAAGGGGAAUUCCAGGUGUAGCAGUGAAAUGCGUAGAUAUCUGGAGGAACAUCAGUGGCGAAGGCGCCUUCCUGGCUUAAAACUGACGCUGAGGUGCGAAAGCGUGGGUAGCGAACGGGAUUAGAUACCCCCGGUAGUCCACGCCGUAAACGAUGUCAACUAGUUGUUGGCCUUAUUAAAAAGGUUAGUAACGAAGCUAACGCGAUAAGUUGACCGCCUGGGGAGUACGGUCGCAAGAUUAAAACUCAAAGGAAUUGACGGGGGCCCGCACAAGCGGUGGAGCAUGUGGUUUAAUUCGAUGCAACGCGAAGAACCUUACCAUCCCUUGACAUCCUGCGAACUUUCUAGAGAUAGAUUGGUGCUUCGGGAACGCAGUGACAGUGCUGCAUGGCUGUCGUCAGCUCGUGUCGUGAGAAGAUUGGGUUAAGUCCCGCACGAGCGCAACCUAUCAUAGUUGCUACAUUAAAUUUGAGAACUCUUAAUGAGACUGGCGGGUGUAUAACCGGAGGGAAGAGCGGGGGGCGACG
rnacentral:rRNA from 1 species